rnacentral:ncRNA from 1 species
UUACCUAACUUGAUAAAGAAAUUUAGUUUAAUGUUUAUAUAAUUAUGGAAAUUUUGUAAGAACCAGUUAUAAAUUUUAAUAAAUAACAGAAAUGUUAACUUAGUAAAUUAUUUCUUUUUUGGUUUAAUAGGUGCCAGCAACCGCGGUCAGACCUAUAAAAAAACUAAUUACAAUAAAUCAAAUAGAAUUUUUAUAGACAAAACUUUGAAUAAUAGUGAAAUAUAUUCUUUUUUAUUUUUGCUUCUAUAUUUUUAUUUUAAAGCUAGAAAGAAAACUAGGAUUAGAUACCCUAUUAUUCUAGAUAUUCAACCUUAUUUGAUGAGUAGUACUAUAUUUAAUAUAUAAACUCAAGAGUUAUGGCGGCUAAUAAAAAUAAUCAGGGGAACUUACCUAAUAAUUGAUAACCACCAAGUAAAACAAUAAAACUUUAAAGUUUGUAUGCCGUCGUCUAAAAAUUUGUUUAGAAAAUUUUUUUAAGAGUAAUCAAUAAGACAGAUCAAGGUGCAACUUAUAGUUUUAAUUAAGGCGAGUUACAAUAUUAUUUUAAUACAGAUAAAUUUAAGUACUAAAUUUUGAAGAUGGACUUGAAAGUAAGAUUUAAAUAAAAAAUAAAAUCUAAAUAUUUUUUUAGUAGUGCACAAAUCGCCCGUCAUUCUCGUUUAAAAAUGAGACAAGUCGUAACAAAGUAGAAGUAAUGGAAAUUGCUUCUUUGCAUUUACUGCAAA